rnacentral:rRNA from 1 species
UUUGAAGAUUGUAACCUUGGGGUUGGCUCUUGUCUAUGUUUCUUGGAACAGGACGUCACAGAGGGUGAGAAUCCCGUGCGAUGAGAUGCCCAAUUCUAUGUAAGGUGCUUUCGAAGAGUCGAGUUGUUUGGGAAUGCAGCUCUAAGUGGGUGGUAAAUUCCAUCUAAAGCUAAAUAUUGGCGAGAGACCGAUAGCGAACAAGUACAGUGAUGGAAAGAUGAAAAGAACUUUGAAAAGAGAGUGAAAAAGUACGUGAAAUUGUUGAAAGGGAAGGGUUUGAGAUCAGACUCGAUAUUUUGUGAGCCUUGCCUUCGUGGCGGGGUGACCCGCAGCUUAUCGGGCCAGCAUCGGUUUGGGCGGUAGGAUAAUGGCGUAGGAAUGUGACUUUACUUCGGUGAAGUGUUAUAGCCUGCGUUGAUGCUGCCUGCCUAGACCGAGGACUGCG